GUCUCUAUAGCUCAGGGGUUAGAGCACUGGUUUUGUAAACCAGGGGGUCGUGAGUUCAAAUCUCACUGGAGGCU
rnacentral:tRNA from 1 species